CACAAUCAUAUUAAGUGGUCCAAAUACAAAUAUACAUACUUAAAAAUCUACCAAAUACUGCAUUAUUACAAAAAUUACAUAACUCUCAACCAAGUUUUGAAGAACCAAUCUCUGCAGACGAACCCAUAGCAUAAAAAAGGGAACAACUUCCACGAAAUACACCCCCAACGACGACAUAGGCGAAACCUAGCUCGGAAGACCGAAACCCAACGAAAUCCUUCCACCUCCCCUCACAUUGCUCACCGUUUCAAAGCCUUCAGUAAAUGGACACGGAAGGAACAACUUCAAAGGAACACGAAAACAUUAAAUGGAUGCAGAGAGAGCUUCGGAGAGAAACGAAAACCUACAAUGGAGCAAAAAGAGAGAGAGAGUGGUUAAAGAGAGAGUACUUCGAAGGAGAAAUACUGAUUCAAACCACUGAGAGUGUUUUUGGAACAACACAAAAUCUCCUUUUUCAAAUCAUUAUUUUAAUUAAAAAAAAUAUUCAAUCACCCAAUAGAUUGCUGACACGUGGCGUUGUCAAAUUGUUGUUAAAAUUUGGUUGUUAACAAAUCGGGAUCCUAUAUAUAUAUACUCAUACAUCUAUAUUAUAUUAAUAUAUUAUAUUAUAUUAACUUAAGUAUUUUAUCCUCUGCACUCAAAACAUUAAUGUCUUGUCAACAUUAAAUUAACCAUGCAACAAUGAAAUGUUUAUAUACCCUUUUCAAAUUUUCCAAAUCCCUCAAUCUCAAAGACCUCUUUGCUACAUGAAAAAAAAUUACGUUCAACCCCAAGCUCAUUCCUUUUUCCUUUCGAAGUGGAACCCAUCCUCAACAUAUAUACAUAUAUACCACUCACGUAACCCACUCAACCUUAUUCUCAACUUUUCCAUCCCUUUUUACUUCUAUUAUUUAUAUCAUUUUACCUAAUUCUACCAACCUCCUAACACCAUUCCAAAAACUUUUCAUUUAAUCUUCUUUUCACAGGACUCAAUCUAAUUUAACAUGCAAGGACACCAGAACAUCCUCUCUCAUGCAACUCUGGAACGUUUCCUACCAUUUGAUUAUUAUCUCAACUAAAUAAAACUUACCAAAAACAAAACUUACCGCUCUGUAUUUCUCACGCAUCCUCCAAGCCAAAAGGCUUACUUAUCUCAUUUUUCCCAUGUAUAAUUUCUCGAUUCCUAUUCAUGGAAAACUUAAUAACUUUCACACAUGCAGUAACCAAACCAUCAACUCUUUUACCCUCUUCAAUAAUAUUAAACACCGAAUUUUCUUCCCAACUUCCACACUCACUGAACAUACCUUCAACCCCAAAGCAAAACCUCUUUUCUCACUUAUUCCUUCAACUCUCUCUUUAGAACCUAUCCCCAACGUAUGGUACCAACUCAUGCUCCUUCCCCUACUAUAAACCCUUGAUGUGAGUCCUCUGAAAACAUCAACACUUCUCGACCAUAAACUUCUAAAAAAAAAUGAAGCUCAUUCAAUGGUAAGGAAUCUAACAACUUGAGUUGAGUAUUCACAACCGCAAAGGAAAACCCCGAAAGAACAACAUCAUUACCAAAAUUAAACAUCCAAAAUAACUCACUCCUAAUUCAAACUACCCAGUGAUUAAUAGAAGAAUUCUAACCCUUUUCACCUGCAUGCAAAGGAGUGAAGAAUACAAUCAUGUUCACCUCUGAAGGAUUUCAUCCCCUCGGUCACAGCAAACACUCACUGUGCCUUCCCCAAAUAUCAGUGCACUCCCGUUUUAACCCGAGACUUUCCCAUAAAACAAUCAUGAUGCGUGAUCUUCGUGCACGCAUAAAAUACGAGGAAAAUGAUAUUUUAACACCAUUUUUGACACAAUUUUGACACUGCAUACAUGUCAAAAUGUGGUUGGACGAUUUCAAAUUAAAAAAACAAACUUUGGUUUUUCUCUUCCAAAUAUACCCCUGCCUCAACUUUUUUAAUUUGAAAUCUUCCAACCACAUUUUGACACGUGUUCACAUUUUGACACGUGUGCAGUGUCAAAAUGGUGUCAAAAUAUUAUUUUCCAAUGAACAAACACUUUAUCACUACACCCAACUGAAUGAGUUUCGGCUUUGCUUCCCUUACGCAAUAUAAUAUCUAAUAUACCAAGAAAAGUUUGGUUUCUCCUAUCAAAGAAAAUAUUUGAAUAUGCCAUGAGUACAUGCGAUGGGUCAUCAACCCUAGGUGGAAAGGAAUGAGGCUAGGAGAACAAAAGAACAUGGUAUAACAUAUAAGAACAUCACCAUACACAUGAAGUAUAAAAAAAUAGAUCCGAAAAACAUUAUAAAGGUAGACAUUCAUCACUAAACAUACUCACAUGGAAAUAAUAUGAUCACUCCCCUUAUCUGGAAUUUCAAGGAUUGCUAUCUUCCGUUUGGUUCAUUACAAGGUUGACAAGAUCCCAUUCUUCACGAGACACUCCCACUUUUUUUUUUUUGGCAAGGCACAAAUGUAUCUAGGAUUACUUUCCAUGUUCUCUUACAACUAGGGUCUAUCUUCCCCGUUUCACCAAGACAACAUAUUUUAUAUCC
rnacentral:lncRNA from 1 species